rnacentral:rRNA from 1 species
ACUCCUACGGGAGGCAGCAGUGGGAAUGAUUGCACAAUGGGGGAAACCCUGAUGCAGCCAUGCCGCGUGUGUGAAGAAGGCCUUCGGGUUGUAAAGCACUUUCAGUAGGGAGGAAGGUAGUGUAGUUAACACCUGCAUUAUUUGACGUACCUACAGAAGAAAGCACCGGCUAACUCCGUGCCAGCAGCCGCGGUAAUACGGAGGGUGCGAGCGUUAAUCGGAAUUACUGGGCGUAAAGCGCAUGCAGGCGGCCUGUUAAGUCAGAUGUGAAAGCCCGGGGCUUAACCUCGGAAUUGCAUUUGAAACUGGCAGGCUAGAGUCUUGUAGAGGGGGGUAGAAUUUCAGGUGUAGCGGUGAAAU